rnacentral:sRNA from 1 species
UCCUAGCCCCGAUGGGAGGGAAUAUCCUUUUGUAUACAGCUGGCAGGUGAUAAAACCUGACAGCUGUAUACAAAAGAUAGGAAGGACAGCGGGACGAUUU